rnacentral:lncRNA from 1 species
AAGAGUCCAGGAAGCAGGCUCAAAAAGACUGAUCAGAGAGGAGGAAUUCAGAUCCUUUUCAUCUGUGACUCUGUCAUUUUCAACAUGUGGCUUCAAAAGUCUGCUUCAAGCCAGUGAAAAGAAAACAAAUAUGAAGAAUAGACUUUUCCAGGCCUGGAAGUGGCACUUAUGACUUUCACUCACAUCCCAACAGCCAGAACUCAGUUAUAUGGGAAAUGUAAUCUAACUAUGUGUCCAUGAAGAACAGGACAUCCGGGAAGCAAUUAGCAGUUUUUUCUACAAUGGUAUAGCAACUGGAUCAGUGUGGAGAAUUUACAGGGCAUCAAAGAAGAACCACUCUUCUUUACCCAACAUGGUGGUGUAGGUACACUAGAAACUCUUGGUGGAGGAAUAGGUCAGACCUAUAAGUGAACAGGAAGCCAGU